rnacentral:rRNA from 1 species
UAUCUCUGUAGAGUCUGCAUAUCAAUAAGCGGAGGAAAAGAAACUAACUAGGAUUCCCUCAGUAACGGCGAGUGAAGCGGGAAGAGCUCAAAUUUGAAAUCUUCAAGGUUUUACCUUGACGAAUUGUAGUUUAAAGAAGUGUUUUCUGUUGGAUGUUUUGGUAAAAGUUCUUUGGAAUAGGACAUCAUAGAGGGUGAGAAUCCCGUAUUUGACCAUUACUUCCAGCUUUGUGAUACACUUUCAAAGAGUCGGAUUGUUUGGGAAUGCAGUCCAAAAUGGGUGGUAAAUUUCAUCUAAAGCUAAAUAUUGGUGAGAGACCGAUAGCGAACAAGUACCGUGAGGGAAAGAUGAAAAGAACUUUGAAAAGAGAGUUAAACAGUACGUGAAAUUGUCAAAAGGGAAGCGUUUGACACCAGUGUUGUUUCUACGAAAAUCAAUUUAUGAUGGCUUGAUGCUAAGCUUUAAGACUUUAUCCGCUUGUUGUUUAGUUUUCUUGUCUUUGUGAAUGCACUUUUCGUGGAACAAGUCAACAUCAAUUUCUUUUGCUGUAAAAGGGUAAGAGGAAGGUGGCUUCGGCUUCGGUUGAAGUGUUUAUAGCCUUUUAUCUCUGCAGUCGGAGAGAUUGAGGUCUGCAGCGUAGACUCUUCGGGGUUAGAUACGUCGGUGCUAAGCUAUAGCUUUUCAUAGACAACUUGUUGACUAUGUUUAGUCAUGUGGCUUACCCGCUGGCGCUAUUUUACCUACGCUUAGGAUGUUGAGUCAUCACACAUCUCU